GAUGAACGCUAGCGGGAGGCCUAACACAUGCAAGCCGAGCGGUAGAGUUUCUUCGGAAACUUGAGAGCGGCGCACGGGUGCGUAACACGUGUGCAACCUACCUUUAUCUGGGGGAUAGCCUUUCGAAAGGAAGAUUAAUACCCCAUAAUAUAAUGAUUGGCAUCAAUUAUUAUUGAAAACUCCGGUGGAUAGAGAUGGGCACGCGCAAGAUUAGAUAGUUGGUGAGGUAACGGCUCACCAAGUCAAUGAUCUUUAGGGGUCCUGAGAGGGAGAUCCCCCACACUGGUACUGAGACACGGACCAGACUCCUACGGGAGGCAGCAGUGAGGAAUAUUGGACAAUGGGUGAGAGCCUGAUCCAGCCAUCCCGCGUGAAGGAUGACGGUCCUAUGGAUUGUAAACUUCUUUUGUACAGGGAUAAACCUGCCCUCGUGAGGGUAGCUGAAGGUACUGUACGAAUAAGCACCGGCUAACUCCGUG
rnacentral:rRNA from 1 species